rnacentral:rRNA from 1 species
GACGAGGUCCACAAACGUUAUUCGGAAUUACUGGGCGUAAAGGGCGCGUAGGCGGCAAGGCAAGUCAGGUGUGAAAGCCCCGAGCUUAACUCGGGAAUUGCAUCUGAAACUGCUGUGCUUGAGUUCUGGAGGGGGUAGUGGAAUUCCCAGUGUAGCGGUGAAAUGCGUAGAUAUUGGGAGGAACACCUGCGGCGAAGGCGGCUACCUGGACAGAAACUGACGCUGAGGCGCGAAAGCUAGGGGAGCAAACAGG